rnacentral:pre_miRNA from 1 species
UUAAUGGUGCCUGAGCCAAAACCCAUUGAAGUCAGUGGGAGUCUUUCCACUGACUUUAAUGGGCUUCAGUUCAGGCCCAGGGUAA